rnacentral:rRNA from 1 species
CCCGUACACAAAAAUGCACAUGCUGUGAGCUCGAUGAGUAGGGCGGGACACGUGGUAUCCUGUCUGAAUAUGGGGGGACCAUCCUCCAAGGCUAAAUACUCCUGACUGACCGAUAGUGAACCAGUACCGUGAGGGAAAGGCGAAAAGAACCCCGGCGAGGGGAGUGAAAAAGAACCUGAAACCGUGUACGUACAAGCAGUGGGAGCACGCUUAGGCGUGUGACUGCGUACCUUUUGUAUAAUGGGUCAGCGACUUAUAUUCUGUAGCAAGGUUAACCGAAUAGGGGAGCCGAAGGGAAACCGAGUCUUAACUGGGCGUUAAGUUGCAGGGUAUAGACCCGAAACCCGGUGAUCUAGCCAUGGGCAGGUUGAAGGUUGGGUAACACUAACUGGAGGACCGAACCGACUAAUGUUGAAAAAUUAGCGGAUGACUUGUGGCUGGGGGUGAAAGGCCAAUCAAACCGGGAGAUAGCUGGUUCUCCCCGAAAGCUAUUUAGGUAGCGCCUCGUGAAUUCAUCUCCGGGGGUAGAGCACUGUUUCGGCAAGGGGGUCAUCCCGACUUACCAACCCGAUGCAAACUGCGAAUACCGGAGAAUGUUAUCACGGGAGACACACGGCGGGUGCUAACGUCCGUCGUGAAGAGGGAAACAACCCAGACCGCCAGCUAAGGUCCCAAAGUCAUGGUUAAGUGGGAAACGAUGUGGGAAGGCCCAGACAGCCAGGAUGUUGGCUUAGAAGCAGCCAUCAUUUAAAGAAAGCGUAAUAGCUCACUGGUCGAGUCGGCCUGCGCGGAAGAUGUAACGGGGCUAAACCAUGCACCGAAGCUGCGGCAGCGACGCUGAUGCGUUGUUGGGUAGGGGAGCGUUCUGUAAGCCUGCGAAGGUGUGCUGUGAGGCAUGCUGGAGGUAUCAGAAGUGCGAAUGCUGACAUAAGUAACGAUAAAGCGGGUGAAAAGCCCGCUCGCCGGAAGACCAAGGGUUCCUGUCCAACGUUAAUCGGGGCAGGGUGAGUCGACCCCUAAGGCGAGGCCGAAAGGCGUAGUCGAUGGGAAACAGGUUAAUAUUCCUGUACUUGGUGUUACUGCGAAGGGGGGACGGAGAAGGCUAUGUUGGCCGGGCGACGGUUGUCCCGGUUUAAGCGUGUAGGCUGGUUUUCCAGGCAAAUCCGGAAAAUCAAGGCUGAGGCGUGAUGACGAGGCACUACGGUGCUGAAGCAACAAAUGCCCUGCUUCCAGGAAAAGCCUCUAAGCAUCAGGUAACAUCAAAUCGUACCCCAAACCGACACAGGUGGUCAGGUAGAGAAUACCAAGGCGCUUGAGAGAACUCGGGUGAAGGAACUAGGCAAAAUGGUGCCGUAACUUCGGGAGAA